UACGUAGGGGGCAAGCGUUAUCCGGAAUUACUGGGUGUAAAGGGAGCGUAGACGGUGAUGUAAGUCUGGAGUGAAAGGCGGGGGCCCAACCCCCGGACUGCUCUGGAAACUAUAUGACUGGAGUGCGGGAGAGGUGAGCGGAAUUCCUAGUGUAGCGGUGAAAUGCGUAGAUAUUAGGAGGAACACCAGUGGCGAAGGCGGCUCACUGGACUGUAACUGACGUUGAGGCUCGAAAGCGUGGGGAGCAAACAGG
rnacentral:rRNA from 1 species